CCUGGUUGCUUUCAUCAAGAUUGGUUAAUCUGACUGUCAUUCACGAAACUGGCCAAUGACAGCCUCGCGCGCCUUUUUGCUAGUGCAGUUUGAAAAUAUACUAAUCAGUUUGGUGAUGUGGUGCUACUGAUCCGCAAGAUUACUCGCUCGCUCAGUUCCUGAUUAUGUGCCUGUUAAAUUCUUAUUGUAAACUAAUUUGAACUGUGAGAUGUCAACGGAGAACAGAAGCUGGAAUGUGAACACAGAGGAAGGGGCAGACUGGAUGUGUGAGAUCCCGAAAACAUAUGGCGAUAUCAGGUGGCACAAAUAAAGGGAAAUAGACUUGUCACCAUCUUCAGUCCUUUAUUUCAUUCACUGGAGAACAUCACAGCCUUCAGAUGUGUCAUAUCAGGAUAAAUGCAACUGCAGGACUCGUCGGGCCCACCCAACUACAGAUUCACCCAGGAUCCAGCUGAUCACUGCCAAUUUGAAGGAGGAUUGUCCUUUAUCUGCUACAUUGCACUCUCACUUCUGAGGCUGUUAAGAAGACUGCACUGAUGUCAAAGAUCAACCAGCAAGAAUCUGAGAGGGAACUCUCAAAAUGGUUUACUGGGACAAGAGACAGAGGAGGACUGAGGGUCUAGAAUGCACAAAUGUCUGUCUGCAGUGUAAGCAGUACUGAAAAAUGUAUAGUUGCUGCUGCUGUUUCUUACUGUCUCUGUUUUUUAUGUGCAAAUGUUCAAAGCUUUCAGUAAACACUGGUUCAAAUACAAGUUCAAAAUGUUUGUUAACUUUAACAAUUACAUAAUUUUAACAAUUAGGUAUCAGAAUAUAGCAUAU